CGUUGCUUCCUCGGCGGCGUGUUCCGCCUCCACUUUGGCCUUCGUCUCACUGAGCAUCUUCUCCCAUCGCUGAGCGAUCGUGAGCUUCUCGACUUUUACCUCCACUAUAAAGAAUUAUUGGCUAUAAAUUACCCAUUGGAUUGAAACACCUCAAAUCCCUCAGAAAUACCCCGGUAUAGGAAAACUUGAAGCAACGGGCGGGAGAGAGACAAAAACCAAACAAACUUUAAGCAAAAAUAAAAGCCGACACCACGCGGCACAAAGGAUGCGAAGGAUGCAAAGAGGACACUAAAGAUGGCUGAGUGAAAUGAAAUUUUUUGUGACAUGCUUCAAAUGCUUGUCACCCAUCCUUACCUCAGUACAACCGAAAAGGCAGUGUAUUACUGUGUUUGUCGGCCAACAAGGUGUAAACAAGUGAAAGGACAUUGGCCUGUUGCUGUAUUACUGUUGCCAGUAUUAAUGCAUCAAUUAUUACCAACGAGCGGCUCAAUUAAACCUUACGCAGUGGAAUGAUUGGGCUCAGAGCUCAACUUGAUUCCUGGUUUCUAGUUCAUUUGCAUUAUGCAAAUUCUUGGCCAACAACAUGGACUGCAGUUUAUGGUCACAGUUUGAUGUAGCAUAAAUAAACAUUACAUGCCAACCGCACCAUAAAUACGCUUUGCGACCAAGCUGCACUGCCAUUUCUCCUGCGGUUGUCUAUGCUAAAAAUUGCAUAAUCUAGUCACCGCUACGGACUUGAAGCCAUUGCGGCUAACCAAGGAUAAUACCCCAAAUAUGAAAUGACAAUUUAAGAUUUCCUUUUGAUGGCCAAGCUAAGUUCGAGGCUUAUAUCGUGCACGUGACUUGCCUAAAUAUUUUGUAGCACAGUUACCAGGGAAACUGCUAAUUUAAUCAGCGCUGUAAUAUUUCAAUUCAAAAUUUCAUCGAAUAAAAAUGUCUAG